GACGAACGCUGGCGGCGUGCCUAAUACAUGCAAGUCGAACGAAGCUGUUUUAACUGGUGCUUGCACCGACUUAAACAACUGAGUGGCGAACGGGUGAGUAACACGUGGGUAACCUGCCCCAAAGCGGGGGAUAACAUUUGGAAACAGAUGCUAAUACCGCAUAACUACAGAAACCACAUGGUUUCUGUGUCAAAGAUGGUUUCGGCUAUCACUUUGGGAUGGACCCGCGGCGUAUUAGCUAGUUGGUAAGGUAAUGGCUUACCAAGGCAAUGAUACGUAGCCGAACUGAGAGGUUGAUCGGCCACAUUGGGAAUGAGACACGGCCCAAACUCCUACGGGAGGCAUCAGUAGGGAAUCGUCAACAAUGGACGAAAGUCUGAUGGAGCAACGCCGCGCGAGUGAAGAAGGUUUUCGGAUCGUAAAACUCUGUUGUCAGAGAAGAACGUGUGCGAGAGUAACUGCUCGUGCAGUGACGGUAUCUGGCCAGAAAGCCACGGCUAAUUACGUGCCAGCCGCCGCCGUAA
rnacentral:rRNA from 1 species